GAUGAACGCUGGCGGCGUGCCUAAUACAUGCAAGUCGAGCGAACGGACGAGAAGCUUGCUUCUCUGAUGUUAGCGGCGGACGGGUGAGUAACACGUGGAUAACCUACCUAUAAGACUGGGAUAACUUCGGGAAACCGGAGCUAAUACCGGAUAAUAUUUUGAACCGCAUGGUUCAAAAGUGAAAGACGGUCUUGCUGUCACUUAUAGAUGGAUCCGCGCUGCAUUAGCUAGUUGGUAAGGUAACGGCUUACCAAGGCAACGAUGCAUAGCCGACCUGAGAGGGUGAUCGGCCACACUGGAACUGAGACACGGUCCAGACUCCUACGGGAGGCAGCAGUAGGGAAUCUUCCGCAAAGGGCGAAAGCCUGACCGAGCAACGCCGCGUGAGUGAUGAAGGUCUUCGGAUCGUAAAACUCUGUUAUUAGGGAAGAACAUAUGUGUAAGUAACUGUGCACAUCUUGACGGUACCUAAUCAGAAAGCCACGGCUAACUACGUG
rnacentral:rRNA from 1 species